UGUUCUGUGGCUUAGUAGGUUGAAGCACCGGUCUAGCGAAUACGGGCUCGUGGGUUCAAAUCCCACCAGAACGC
rfam:Aedes albopictus isolate Foshan contig71377, whole genome shotgun sequence.